rnacentral:rRNA from 1 species
GAUACCAUUUAGCUUGCUAGAUGGGAAAGUGGCGCACGGGUGCGUAACGCGUAUGCAACCUACCUCAAUCAGGGGGAUAGCCCGAAGAAAUUCGGAUUAACACCGCAUAAAAUCACAGUAUAGCAUUAUACAAUGAUCAAAUAUUUAUAGGAUUGAGAUGGGCAUGCGUGUCAUUAGUUAGUUGGCGAGGUAACGGCUCACCAAGACCACGAUGACUAGGGGAUCUGAGAGGAUGACCCCCCACACUGGUACUGAGACACGGACCAGACUCCUACGGGAGGCAGCAGUAAGGAAUAUUGGUCAAUGGAGGCAACUCUGAACCAGCCAUGCCGCGUGCAGGAAGACAGCCCUCUGGGUCGUAAACUGCUUUUAUUCGGGAAUAAACCUACUUACGAGUAAGUAGCUGAAUGUACCGAAGGAAUAAGGAUCGGCUAACUCCGUGCCAGCAGCCGCGGUAAUACGGAGGAUCCAAGCGUUAUCCGGAUUUAUUGGGUUUAAAGGGUGCGUAGGCGGCUUAUUAAGUCAGGGGUGAAAGACGGUGGCUCAACCAUCGCAGUGCCCUUGAUACUGAUGAGCUUGAAUACACUAGAGGUAGGCGGAAUGUGACAAGUAGCGGUGAAAUGCAUAGAUAUGUCACAGAACACCGAUUGCGAAGGCAGCUUACUAUGGUGUUAUUGACGCUGAGGCACGAAAGCGUGGGGAUCAAACAGGAUUAGAUACCCUGGUAGUCCACGCCCUAAACGAUGAAUACUCGCUGUUAGCGAUACACAGUUAGCGGCUAAGCGAAAGCGUUAAGUAUUCCACCUGGGGAGUACGCCCGCAAGGGUGAAACUCAAAGGAAUUGACGGGGGCCCGCACAAGCGGAGGAGCAUGUGGUUUAAUUCGAUGAUACGCGAGGAACCUUACCCGGGCUUGAAAGUUAGUGAAUACUCUAGAGAUAGAUUAGUGAGCAAUCACACGAAACUAGGUGCUGCAUGGCUGUCGUCAGCUCGUGCCGUGAGGUGUUGGGUUAAGUCCCGCAACGAGCGCAACCCCUAUGUUUAGUUGCCAGCACGUUAAGGUGGGGACUCUAAACAGACUGCCUGUGCAAACAGAGAGGAAGGAGGGGACGACGUCAAGUCAUCAUGGCCCUUACGUCCGGGGCUACACACGUGCUACAAUGGGUGGUACAGAGGGCAGCAAGCUGGUAACAGCAAGCAAAUCUCAAAAAGCCAUUCACAGUUCGGAUAGAGGUCUGCAACUCGACCUCUUGAAGUUGGAUUCGCUAGUAAUCGCGUAUCAGCAAUGACGCGGUGAAUACGUUCCCGGGCCUUGUACACACCGCCCGUCAAGCCAUGGAAGUUGGGGGUACCUAAAGUAUGUAACCGCAAGGAGCGUCCUAGGU